UUAUCUUCUCUUUAAAAAAAAUCUACCCUCUCUAAACUCAUCUUCCCCAAAAUUCCCACCACCCCACCAACAUCUCCCCCCAAAACUGUUUGAUGUUCCUAAAAUGAAACUAUGUGCGCCUAUUUCUGAGUAUGUUUUAGGUGGGUUUGUUGAUUAGCUUGCUAGUGGCUUGUUGAAGGUGGGUUUGUUGAUUAGCUUGUUAAGCAGUCCUUGUUAGCACCGGCGUUCUCCAAGUAGGCGACGCCGUCCAGUUAAACCACCGGAGUAGCCACCAGCCGCCGCCGACUGAACAGUGAGCUGGGUUGUCAAUUGCCGGAGUUAAGGAAGAUUUGCUAGAUACAAAAAAGUAGCAGCAGAGACCGAGUUUCAAUAACACAGGUUGGAAUAUUGUGCCAAUCAGCCAGCCGAGAGGCAAGGAUGUUGCAUAUGCAGGCCCAAAUUGACAGCUUACUCAACUCGGGGCCCUCUCAUAUUCCCCCGUGUCCCGGGGAUGCUCGUAGGUCACAGCCCAAUAGACGACGUAGGUCACAAGACAACGUAGUUCAUGCUCUUGUUAAUGAGGAUAGUGGAGAGGAAUCGGAUCAUGUCUCUAACAUCCAACGUUGACUUUUUUGAUUCGUAUACUUUUGGAUUGUAAUAUUGCUAUGUUUUCUUGGAUAUGUAUAUUUUUUUUAUGAUAGUUUUAAUUCGAAUUAGAUGUACUUUUGAAGGUGAAUUUAAUUGUAGGAAGUAGUUUAUGGAUGUUUUAACUUUACGAUGUUUAAGUGUUUGAAUAUAGAAAGUAGUUUAUGGUUGUUUA